rnacentral:misc_RNA from 1 species
GAUAGAGAGAGAACAUGAUUUGGCGAUUGCACGCGACCUUAAACGCUAGUUUGAGGUGACGUAGUCUUACCGCCCUCUCGACUGUCUUCGAUUGAUGGUUGAAUAUCUCUCGCUCUUUUACCUCUUUCGACCAGUGCUCGCCGCUUUUCUCUUUAUCAUUGGUAAGCCCUAAUCUAUGUAUCCACCAAUCUAUCACCAAUAAUCCGUUCUCGAAUUUUCUCUCUAUUAAUUCAGUUCUUAGGGUUUAUUUUUGUUUCCUUUCUUUGUUGGACUUUAAUUUCUAGGGUUCAAUCGCCCUACCUUUUACCUUGUUAAUUGUUCGAAUAAAUUUUUAUAGCUCUAUACAUCAAUAGUAGAGAAUCUGAAAUCGAUUGUGUUGCUGCCUUUGCUUACUCUGGGUUUUGCUCUUAGAUCCGUGGUUGGUCUCGAAUCGAUUUUUUUGUUUAAAUAAAAAGAAUAAUAGGGUUUUUAUAGGCGUGGAAUUAGGGGUUUGAAUUGGAUUAGGGUUUUGUACUGUGACGUUUGAUUUUUUGUCGUAACGUAUGGCGGCUGGGAGAGAUGGGGUUUAUCGCGAUAACGAGUUCCGGGGACGCGAGUCUGAUAUUGAAUAUUCUAGGAGGGAUUUGGCUUAUUCAAAGGAAGAGUAUGAUGAGAUUGGGAAUGGUAAUCGUGAAAACGAACGGGUUAGAGUUCGUGAUAUAAGAGAUAGGGGUAUGGUUAGGCAGAGUGAUAUUAAGGAGAGAGAAGUGGUUAAUGGUGGUUAUCGGUCCUCUUCUAGUAGGAGUGAUUCAGGCAGUGAUGGCGGUACGCGUGGACCUAGGAGAUGUGAGUUUACUGUCAAGACCUUGGAUCGGGAGCCAGGUGAAUUGUCUAGUGAGAGUGGGUCCGAUGAUGCAAUUGAGUCUGAAUCACUGGUCAAUCAAGAUAGUGAAGCUUCAAAGGUAGUACAGAAUGGGAAUUGGACUCCUGUGGAGAAGAAGAGGAAGUUUUCUCCAAUUGUUUGGGAUAGGGAUGACAGAGAAGUGAGUAAUUCUUCAAAAAGUAGGAUUUCUCCGGCAGUGACUAUUCUCCCUCAACCGCCACUUCUCCCUAGGGCCUAUUGCCAAUCACCUGAUAUUAUUCCAGAUGGAGGUGUAGAGAUAUCUCCUAUUAAGGGUAAUAAAAACCAGAGUUUGAAGUCAUUUUCUCCAGUCAAGGAUCCAUUGGCUAAAAGGCCAGCUGGAUAUUCCGCAUCUGAGUCACCAGUAGGGUUGGCAGCUUUGCCCCUAGAGGAGCAACGAUUGGGUAAUGAUCAUGAAGCUGAGCUGAUAGAAGAUGAUGAUUAUGUACCACUACGUAAUAUAUCAUCUUCUAGAUGGGCUGCUGGGAACAAUUCUCCAGUUGAUGAAGGUGAAAUUGUAGAGGAUCAGGAAAUGCCUAAGAGGGGGAAAAAGAUGCCUCAUUUGGAGUCCUUGGAUUUCAGAGCACGGAAUAGUUCAUUGACUCCUGAUCUUGGAGACCUUAAGAGAGAUGGUUCUGAUAGAGCUAGAGGGACUUUGACUGACUCUGAUGAGCAAGACAGUCGUGCUAGGUCUUUGAGUGUGGAUGAUUAUCCUUGUAAUGAUACUGGCAAGGAUGGCUACAUGGAGAUCGAUGAUGGGUAUGAUGAAAAUGAUGGUAGCAAUGGCCAUUCUGAAGCUGAUUCUGAGAAUGAAAAUGAUUCUUCUGAAACAUCAGAGCCUGUAGGUCCUCCUCAAAGAAGUAUAAACAUGCUUCUGGGGUGUAGAGGUGUAGAUGAGUUUGAGAGACUAAAUAAGAUAGAUGAAGGCACUUAUGGAGUUGUAUAUAGAGCUAGAGAUAAGAAGACUGGGGAAAUUGUAGCAUUGAAGAAGGUAAAAAUGGAGAAGGAACGAGAAGGCUUUCCGCUGACAUCUUUGAGGGAAAUAAAUAUUCUUCUCUCUUUUCAUCACCCUUCAAUUGUUGAUGUAAAAGAAGUUGUGGUAGGGAGUAACCUUGAUAGCAUAUAUAUGGUGAUGGAAUAUAUGGAGCAUGAUCUCAAGGGCUUCAUGGAGUCAAUGAAGUAUCCAUUUAGUCAGAGUGAAGUUAAAUGCUUAAUGCUCCAGUUAUUGAAGGGUGUCAAGUAUCUCCAUGAUAACUGGGUCCUUCAUCGAGAUUUAAAGACAUCAAAUUUGCUUUUGAAUAAUCGGGGUGAGUUGAAGAUUUGUGACUUUGGGUUGGCUCGGCAGUAUGGAAGUCCAUUGAAACCAUAUACUCAUUUGGUGGUUACUCUUUGGUACAGGGCACCUGAACUUCUUUUGGGAGCCAAGCAAUAUUCAACUGCAAUUGACAUGUGGUCAUUAGGUUGUAUUAUGGCUGAAUUGUUGUCAAAAGAGCCAAUGUUCAAUGGGAAAACAGAAUUUGAUCAACUUGAUAAGAUUUUUCGAAUGCUUGGCACACCAAAUGAGACAAUCUGGCCUGGGUUCUCCAAGUUACCUGGUGUGAAGGUCAACUUUGUUAAGCAUCAGUAAGUAUCAAUAGUCAUGAAUUUACCUUCUAAUUAACAAUAAUGUCAGUUUUUCUUAUUUUUUGCCACUGUUUUCCCAGGCUUCCAGCUGGGUGAUUCUGGUCUGGCUAUCUGGCCUCCAUUGGUGACACUUUCAUACAAAUUCAUUUCUUGUUUGUACUAAACAGCUGACCUGUUCCUUUCAGGUAUAACCUACUGCGUAAGAAAUUCCCAGCAACAUCUUUCACUGGAUCGCCAGUUCUUUCUGAUUCUGGAUUUGAUUUGUUGAACAAACUUCUAACCUAUGACCCUGAGAAGCGAAUAACUGCUGAUGCUGCUCUUAACCACGAAUGGUUUCGUGAAGUUCCUCUUCCCAAGUCUAAGGAUUUUAUGCCUACUUUUCCUGCUCAGCAUGCCCAAGACAGGCGUCUGCGAAGGAUAUUGAAGAGUCCAGAUCCUUUGGAAGAGCAGCGCAGAAAAGAACUGCAACAAGGAGAAUUAGGGACUGGCAGUUUGUUUGGCUAAGAGGCCUUCUCUUCUGAUCUCCAUGCUUUAGUUUCUACACCACUGACGCAGGAUGAGGUUGAGGCACCUGUGAUGAUUUGGGUGGAGAAAUUAUUUGCCUCCUGCCACCCAGCUAUCUUGCAGGUUAACUUUGACAUUCAGCUUUAAUCAGCAUACAUUGCAAGGUGUGGCAUGAUGGCCUUUCAUCUUAAAAAUCAGUUUCAACUGAAACUUGUAUAUGUAACAUAUUUUCAUUGGUACAUUGUAAACAAUCCUAUCAAAUUUUGUUUUGAAGUUUAGAACAGUAUGAAUUUAUUCUCCACUAUCAGUUCUGUCUAUUUUUUAAUAUUCACAUUGUGUUUGCAAGAGGCUGUUGGUGUGAAGUGGAGGAGAUGUUCUUAGCUUUUCAUUGACGAAGAAAUAGACAGUAACCAUAGUGCACAAAAGUAUCAAAGCAAGCAGGUUCAGGAGGUUACCUGCAAACUGGAUUUUAUAGAACUUUCAAUUAGUUCUUCAGGCUCACUGGAGGUACAAUACAAACCUUGGUUUGUUCUUAUGUCUCAGUUUUAUUUUUUUGAUUUCUUUAUGGUUAAACUUUUAGUCUGCUUGAACUUUUGGAUAUAGUACUGUGGGGUGGUGGUGGUGGCGGUAACCUUCGAGAUGCAUUUAUUACUUGUUGUAAGCAUGCUUCGUAGUUGUAGAAUUGAGAGAUUACUCAUUAAAGGUAAUACAAUUGUCAAAAUUGUAGGCUUCUGUUUAAUGGGUUGUCCCAUGGUUCUCGUGUUUUAUUGGGGCAUGGGCAGUCUUUGGAUUUGGGAACGUUUGCAAUAUAUGGGAUACUUAAUUGCACUUCUGUACAGCAAGAAAUUGAUAAACAUAAAUUCUUUGGUAUUUUGUUGGUUACUGUCUAUACUUUUUACAUGGUAUCUGAAUGAAUAGCAGUGAGACACCAUGAAACUUGCCAUAUAUCUAUGUUAUCUGUGAGCAGAACUCUGCCCUCUGAAUCAGAUGACGUUUCAAAUAAUUUAGAAGGAAAUAGUUAAAAGGCCAAAUGAGUGUCAAAAUUCAGAUGAAAUCAAAUAAUUGCAAGUAUAUUUCCAACUGUUGUUUUAAAGAGUUCCUUGCAACUUUGAAUCUAAUAAUCAGUCAAUAGUUCUUUGAGAAGACCUUGGGUAGUUGAAGUGGCAGGCCUACUACAGAAAAAGAACACACUGAAAAUAAAUGUUGAUUAUUGUAAGGUCAGAAGCUGGUGUUGGAUAAAACAUUGAAACCAUUAUGGAAAAAAAAGAUAUUUCAAACUCUUGAUAAUAUUGAUGUCAUGAUUUUAUAGAACUGUGCCCAGUCAAUAUUUUGUCAUUAGAUUUUAAGCAGUCGGGAGCAGUUUAGAUACAUUUUGUGCAUUUGUUGUCUGUCACUUCAGAAUUUCAAUCAUUCAAGCCAUUUUUCAUUUGGAUUGUCAAUGUUGCUUGGGAUAAUUUUGAUUAUGUUCAAUUGUUCAUAAUUUUUGUUUAUGCUUGACUUUUUUUUCUUUUUGGGGAGUUUUCUUUGAUAGAAUUUGUAUGCAAAAUGGCUCACUGUUGGAAGUGGUUCAUGAAAUUGAACUUCCAUGGUUUGUUUUUAUGUUUUGUCUGAAUGUUAGUGAGAUCUGAUUUGGAUAAGAUGAAACCAUUUUUCAAUUUGUUUCUAUGGAUGUCAUUGUAUCUAGAUUUAGCUUUCUAAGUCAAAUUUUCUUUACUAAUGCCAUUGUAUGUAUGAAUUAUCAUUUAGUGGAUCAUGUCACUUCCCUACCUUGUUAUAAUUUUUCUUUUUAUUUGACAUUCUGUGGCCUUUGUGGUCAAGUUAUUGCUCUAAUUAAGCUUGUACAGGGUUGGUUUGGGUGGGCUGAGCAUAGAAUGCCACAUCGAACCAAUCUCAUCAGUUAAUAAAAACUGCAAAUGGCAAUCGUUUAUAAAUACAGGAAAACGGUUUUAUCAGGUACAUCGGUUGGGAUUUGAACAUUGGAUAAAGUAAUUUUGUACAAAGAUGAGGAAAAAAAAUCUGCGGUAUGUAAAAUCGUUGAUAAAGAGGAAAAUUGUCAAUUUUUUGAAAAAAUAAUUAUCACAUUUGAGAAUUAAUCAAAUGAGUAUAUAUAAAAAAAUAAUUUAAUGGUUGUUUAAAUGAAAAUUCAUGUUUGUACGAAUAAAAGAAAUUAAGGAUACGUGCAAAUCUUGUGAUUUCUUCAAGAUCCGAAAAUUGUCGGCAGAUCGAGGUUCUUGUUCACUUUGGGAUUUUUUUCUCGUGGCUGGGCCUUGCCUAUUAUGACUGGAUUCAUGAUGCAUGGUAAGAUUUAUUAGAUAUGUGAAUUUUAAACGUUUGUUUCUUGCGUAAGAAUUUUCCUUUAUUUGGAGUUACUGGUUUAUUACAAACCAAGUUGCCCCCGAUCAAUGCUAUAGACAUAGUUUGUGUAGUGUCAUUCCUCACUUUCAGUUUUAAUUUUAUGACGUUAAAGUUGUUUUUAUAAUUGUUCUUUUAACUUUAAUUUGUGUCAUUAAACUUCAAUUUAAUGUUAUUCAAAAUUCUUUUAAUAAAAUUUUAUUAUGUACUCUAGAAAAAGAAAUUAAUUUGAAUGUAUCUAAG